CCUACGGGCGGCAGCAGUGAGGAAUAUUGGUCAAUGGACGCAAGUCUGAACCAGCCAUGCCGCGUGAAGGAAGACGGCCCUAUGAGUUGUAAACUGCUUUUGUACGAGGGUAAACGCAGAUACGCGUAUCUUUCUGUAAGUACCGUACGAAUAAGGAUCGGCUAACUCCGUGCCAGCAGCCGCGGUAAUACGGAGGAUUCAAGCGUUAUCCGGAUUUAUUGGGUUUAAAGGGUGCGUAGGCGGGCUGUUAAGUUAGAUGUGAAAUCCCGGGGCUCAACCUCGGAAUUGCAUUUGAUACUGUUAGGCUAGAGUGUAGUUGAGGUAGGCGGAAUGUAUGGUGUAGCGGUGAAAUGCUUAGAGAUCAUGCAGAACACCGAUUGCGAAGGCAGCUUACCAAGCUACUACUGACGUUGAGGCACGAAAGCGUGGGGAGCAAACAGGAUUAGAUACCCCGGUAGUC
rnacentral:rRNA from 1 species